rnacentral:rRNA from 1 species
CCCAAAAGCUAGCUCCUCCCCCUAAAUUCAACAAACAAACAUAACUAAACCCUAAAACCCUAGAAUAAGUAAACAAAUCAUUUUACCACCUAAGUAUGGGUGACAGAAAAGGAACAAGAAGCAACAGAAAAAGUACCGUAAGGGAAAGCUGAAAGAGAAAUGAAAUAACCCAGUAAAGAAGAAAAAAGCAGAGAUAAAACCUCGUACCUUUUGCAUCAUGAAUUAGCUAGUCAACUUCAAGCAGAGUGAACUUUAGUUUGAAACCCCGAAACUAGGCGAGCUACUCCAAGACUGCCUUUAGGGCUAACCCGUCUCUGUGGCAAAAGAGUGGGAUGAUCUUAGAGUAGAGGUGACAGACCUAACGAGCCCAGUUAUAGCUGGUUGCCUAUAAAAUGAACAGAAGUUCAGCCUUUUGGUUUCUUUAAUCAAAUAAGGUUAAUAUUUUUAACUGAUACCUAGAAACCCAAAGAGUUAUUCAAAAGGGGUACACCCCUUUUGAAAAAAGAAACAACUUUAUUAAGCAGGCUAAAGAUCAAAGAUUCAAAGGACACCCACCCUAGUAGGCCUAAAAGCAGCCACCCAUGUAGAAAGCGUUAAAGCUCAAGUGCUAAAUACACCUUAAAUCCCGAAAACAAUAUCUUAAACCUCUUUCUUAAUAUUAGGCCUACUUAUGCAUACAUAAGAGAGAUACUGCUAAUAUGAGUAAUAAGGGAGCCAAGACUCCCUCCAAAGCACCUGUUUAUAUCAGAACGAACCCACACUGAAAAUUAACACUCCCAAAUCAAAGAGGGCACUGAGAAAAUAAAAUUAACCAAGAAAACCUCUCAACUUAAACAGCGUUAACCCCACACAGGAGUGCCUAAGGAAAGACCAAAAGGAAAAGAAGGAACUCGGCAAACACUGGCCUCGCCUGUUUACCAAAAACAUCGCCUCCUGCAUUUACUACUAUAGGAGGUCUCGCCUGCCCUGGUGACUCAUCAGUUUAACGGGCGGCGUAUUUUGACCGUGCGAAGGUAGCGUAAUCACUUGUCUUUUAAAUGGAGACCAGUAUGAAUGGCAUAACGAGGGCCAAGCUGUCUCCUUUUCCUAGUCAAUGAAAUUGAUCUCUCCGUGCAGAAGCGGGGAUUUAACCAUAAGACGAGAAGACCCUAUGGAGCUUAAGACAAAAGAUAGCCCAUGUUAAAACACCUAAUUACUGGAAAUAACAAGAUGGUUCCUAUCCUUAUGUCUUUGGUUGGGGCGACCGUGGGAAAACAAAAAACUCCCAUGUGGAAUGGGGCAGCCCCCCUUAAAGCUAGAGUUACAGCUCCUGCAAGCAGAAUAUCUGACCAACAAGAUCCGGCAAAGCCGAUCAACGGACCGAGUUACCCUAGGGAUAACAGCGCAAUCCCCUUUUAGAGCCCAUAUCGACAAGGGGGUUUACGACCUCGAUGUUGGAUCAGGCCCCCUAAUGGUGCAGCCGCUAUUAAGGGUUCGUUUGUUCAACGAUUAAAGUCCUACGUGAUCUGAGUUCAGACCGGAGAAAUCCAGGUCAGUUUCUAUCUAUGAACUGCUCUUUCCUAGUACGAAAGGACCGAAAAGAGAAGGCCAAUGCUUAAAGUAAGCCUUACCCCCACCUAGUGAAAACAACUAAACUAGGUAAUAGGGCAUAUCAAAUUCAACCUUAAGAAAAAGGCAA